ACGGCGUAAAGCUGUCGCUAAAGGAUGGACCUGCGAUGCAUUAGCUAGUUUGGUUAAGGUAAACGGCUUACCUAAGGCGAUGAUGCAUAGCCGAGUUGAGAGACUGAUCGGCCACAUUGGGACUGAGACACGGCCCAAACUCCUACGGGAGGCAGCAGUAGGGAAUCUUCCACAAUGGACGCAAGUCUGAUGGAAGCAACGCCGCGUGAGUGAAGAAGGUUUUCGGAUCGUAAAGCUCUGUUGUUGGUGAAGAAGGAUAGAGGUAGUAACUGGCCUUUAUUUUGACGGUAAUCAACCAGAAAGUCACGGGCUAACUACGUGCCAGCAGCCGCGGUAAAU
rnacentral:rRNA from 1 species